rnacentral:rRNA from 1 species
CCUACGGGAGGCAGCAGUGAGGAAUAUUGGUCAAUGUACGAGAGUCUGAACCAGCCAAGUAGCGUGAAGGAUGACUGCCCUAUGGGUUGUAAACUUCUUUUAUAUGGGAAUAAAAUGUUCCACGUGUGGGAUUUUGUAUGUACCAUAUUAAUAAGGAUCGGCUAACUCCGUGCCAGCAGCCGCGGUAAUACGGAGGAUCCGAGCGUUAUCCGGAUUUAUUGGGUUUAAAGGGAGCGUAGGUGGAUUGUUAAGUCAGUUGUGAAAGUGUGCGGCUCAACCGUAAAAUUGCAGUUGAAACUGGCAGUCUUGAGUACAGUAGAGGUGGGCGGAAUUCGUGGUGUAGCGGUGAAAUGCUUAGAUAUCACGAAGAACUCCGAGUGCGAAGGCAGUUCACUGGACUGCAACUGACACUGAGGCUCGAAAGUGUGGGUAUCAAACAGGAUUAGAUACCCUUGUAGUC